rnacentral:rRNA from 1 species
AUUGAACGCUGGCGGCAGGCCUAACACAUGCAAGUCGAGCGAGCGGCGGACGGGUGAGUAAUGUAUGGGGACUGCCCGAUAGAGGGGGAAAACUACUGGAAACGUUAGCUAAUACCGCAUACUUUCGGAGAACCCAGAUGGGAUGAGCUAGUUGGCGAGGUAAUGGCCCACCAAGGCGACGAUCCCCAGCUGGGCUGAGAGGAUGAUCAGCCACAAUGGGACUGAGACACGUCACAGACUCCUACGGAGGCAGCAGUGGGGAAGAUUGGGCAAUGGGCGCAAGCCUGACCCAGCAACGCCGCGUGAAGGAAGACGGUCUUCGGAGUGUAAACUUCUUUAGACAGGGACGCGGUACCUGUAGAAUAAGCCACGGCUAACUACGUGCCAGCAGCCGCGGUAAUUC